CGUGGGUGUACGGGCGUGAUCUUAAGUGUCUUCCUUUUUGAGAAAAUAAGGAUAUAUAUUUUUCGUGGCGGGCUGGGACAGUAACCUACCCCGUAACAUAUUUUUUCUUUUUCACGGCUAAAAUACAUCUUUCCUGCACUAAUCUCAUGUAUCCACGUAUGCACGGGCGUGGAAGGCUGUCGUGGGAAUUGAACUCGGGCUCUCUCGUUUGUGAGCCGAGUGUGCUAACCACUGCACCACGAAGCCCCCUGCUGGGUUGGGAGGGGGGGGGGGGCGGUUAGUUUGCAUAUAUGGACAUUUUUUGUGGUGUGUAGUGGGCUUGUGUAAUAGUGGUUUAGGUCUGGUAAUUCCUUGUAUUUUACAGAAACCACUACAUGCCGGAGAUGACCCGACCCGCCCCGCCCCGCCCCACCUUCCUGGCCUGCCCGCCCCCUGGCAUAAAUUGUUUCCAGAAACCCCUAAAUGACCGACUCUUCCAUGCCUGAGAUGACCCGCCCUGCCCUGCGUCAUGACCUCCCGGCAUACAUUGAAACCGUGCGCUGAAUGGGUGACUUUUCAAUGCUGGAGGUCCACUCCCUGACCCCCCGCCCUGCCCCGCCUCGCAUGUCACGACCUGCCCCUGCGUCAGUUGCUACUCUUCCUCGCACUCGGUCUCCUCGCUUUGCGCGGUGCCAGCCGCACGAGCAGCCUCCCGCCCCGGGCCUCCACCACCUGUGGCUUCGCGACGGGCGGCCUCGUGAGCACAACACAUGGCCCUCAGGGCGUCGACACUGCCGAUUGAGUCACACGCCUGGUACACUUGUUGCCUCAGUGUCACGUCACGGAGGACUCCCAUUAACUUUCUAAGCGACAAGUACUCCGACAAAUCUGUGCUACGCUGUUG